rnacentral:rRNA from 1 species
CUUGAAUACAUUAGCAUGGAAUAAUGAAAUAGGACGUUCGAUCCUAUUUUGUUGGUUUCUUAGGAUUGACGUAAUGAUUAAUAGGGAUAGUUGGGGGCAUUAGUAUUCAAUUGUCAGAGGUGAAAUUCUUGGAUUUAUUGAAGACUAACUACUGCGAAAAGCAUUUUGCCAAGGAUGUUUUCAUUAAUCAAGAACGAAAGUUAGGGGAUCGAAGACGAUCAGAUACCGUCGUAGUCUUAACCAUAAACUAUGCCGACUAGGGAUCGGAUGAUGUUAAUUUUUAAUGACUCAUUCGGCGCCUUACG